rfam:Brachypodium distachyon strain Bd21 chromosome 3, whole genome shotgun sequence.
CAUCUACUCCCUCCGUCCCAUAUUAAGUGACUCUAAUUUGUCUAAAAAUGAACGUAUCUAUAUACUAAAAUACGUCUAGAUACAUGUAAUAUUCCGGCACUUAAUAUGGGACGGAAGGAGUACAAU